rnacentral:lncRNA from 1 species
GCUGGCUUGAUGUCUGUAGUACAAAGUUAGAAGCUGGAAGGUCAGUCUGGCCAGACCACAUCUGGGCUGGGGGGCUGGGGGGGGGGAGCUCAUGUAUGGCUGCCAUAACAGUGCUAGGAACUGUUCUGAAGAAAAAGGAUAAUGUAUUUAUUACUAUUGAUAUUAUUCUCUUGUUGUGUGAAGUGGGCUUGACAUCGCAGGGUUGCGUAUGAAUAAACUGAGGCCCAGAAAGAUCAUGAUUCCCAGCACUGCAAGCUGUCCUGACCCAAACCCAGUGUAUGGUGCCCAAGUCCACUCUCUUACUCUUUUGCUCGUCUGAGCUCACGUCCAGCUCUGCUCUCUCCUCCCUCUCAGUGCAGAACAGGGACUUUGUGGAUAUCUUGGCUGCCCCACAUCUAUGCUCUGUGUUCUCAGGGUCCUUCUUAUGGAGUGUACUGUAGGUGGCAAAGCACGGGUCUCACUGAAGCCAGGAAAGUGAGCUCGGCAUUGCUUUCAGGCUCCCUUGUUACUGGGGCUCUGCUCUGAUUUCGUUUCUGUUGCUGUGAGAAAGCACUCUGACCAGAAAUACCACAGGGGAGAAGAGGGUAUAUUCUGUUUUGUUUUGUUUUGUUUUGUUUUUUCAAUACAGGGUUUCUCUGUAUAGCCCUGGCUGUCCUGGAACUCACUUUGUAGACCAGGCUGGCCUUGAACUCAGAAAUCCGCCUGUGUGAAGAGCCGUGCAGCGAGCAAUCAAGUGCGUGCCGCCAGUAAUCCCUGUGGAGAGCCAUGCCGCGAGCAAUUGCCAUUAUAAGAUGGCGCUGGCCUCCACUGUGCCUAACUAGUAAACAAGCCUUGUACGCAGGUGCGAGAGUGAACUCACUCCUAGUCACUCCUAUUAUCGGGACGUAAUAGUGGG